rnacentral:rRNA from 1 species
UACGUAGGGCGCGAGCGUUGUCCGGAAUUAUUGGGCGUAAAGAGCGCGUAGGCGGUCCGAUAAGUCGGCUGUGAAAGUCCAGGGCUCAACCCUGGAAAGCCGGCCGAUACUGUCGGACUAGAGUCCGGAAGAGGCAAGUGGAAUUCCCGGUGUAGCGGUGAAAUGCGCAGAUAUCGGGAGGAACACCAAUUGCGAAGGCAGCUUGCUGGGACGGUACUGACGCUGAGGCGCGAAAGCGUGGGGAGCAAACAGG